rnacentral:rRNA from 1 species
CCUACGGGCGGCAGCAGUGGGGAAUAUUGCACAAUGGGCGAAAGCCUGAUGCAGCAACGCCGCGUGAGCGAUGAAGGCCUUCGGUUCGUAAAGCUCUGUCCUCAUGGAAGAUAAUGACGGUACUUGAGGAGGAAGCCUCGGCUAACUACGUGCCAGCAGCCGCGGUAAUACGUAGGGGGCUAGCGUUAUCCGGAAUUACUGGGCGUAAGGGGUGCGUAGGUGGUGUCUUAAGUCAGAGGUGAAAGGCUACGGAUCAACCGUAGUAAGCCUUUGAAAUUGGGGAACUUGAGUGCAGGAGAGGAGAGGGGAAUUCCUAGGUUAGCGGUGAAAUGCGUAGAUAUUAGGAGGAAGACCAGUUGCGAAGGCGGCUCGCUGGACUGUAACUGACACUGAGGCACGAAAGCGUGGGGAGCAAACAGGAUUAGAUACCCUUGUAGGC